AGAGUUUGAUCCUGGCUCAGAAUGAACGCUGGCGGCGUGCUUAACACAUGCAAGUCGAACGGUAACAGAGGAGCUUGCUCCUGCUGACGAGUGGCGCACGGGUGAGUAAUGCAUAGGUAACGUGCCCCUUAGUCUAGGAUAGCCACUGGAAACGGUGAUUAAUACUGGAUACUCCUUCUCUUUUAAUAAGAGUUGGGAAAGUUUUUCGCUAAGGGAUCGGCCUAUGUUGUAUCGGGUAGUUGGUGAGGUAAUGGCUCACCAAGCCUAUGACACAUAGCGGGUCUGAGAGGAUGAUCCGCCACACUGGUACUGAGACACGGACCAGACUCCUACGGGAGGCAGCAGUGGGGAAUAUUGCACAAUGGACGAAAGUCUGAUGCAGCAACGCCGCGUGGAGGAUGACACAUUUCGGUGCGUAAACUCCUUUUAUAUGAGAAGAUAAUGACGGUAUCAUAUGAAUAAGCACCGCUAAC
rnacentral:rRNA from 1 species